rnacentral:rRNA from 1 species
GACGAACGCUGGCGGCGUGCUUAACACAUGCAAGUCGAACGGAAAGGCCCUGCUUUUGUUGGGUUCUCGAUCGGCGAACGGGUGAGUAACACGUGUGUAACCUGCCCUUGACUUUGGGAUAACUUCAGGAAACUGGGGCUAAUACCGGAUAGUAGCUACUGCUCCAUGUUGGGGGUUGGAAAGUUUCGGCGGUUGUGUCUGGACUCGCGGCUUAUCAGCUUGUCGGUGGGGUAGUGGCUUACCAAGGCUUUGACGGGUAGCCGGCCUGAGAGGGUGACCGGCAACAUUGGGACUGAGAUACGGACCAGACUCCUACGGGAGGCAGCAGUGGGGAAUAUUGCACAAUGGGCGGAAGCCUGAUGCAGCAACGCCGCGUGCGGGAUGACGGCCUUCGGGGUGUAAACCGCUUUCGACUGUGACGAAGCGUGAGUGACGGUAAUGGGUAAAGAAGCAACGGCUAACUACGUG